UACGAAGGGUGCAAACGUUGCUCGGAAUUAUUGGGCGUAAAGGGCGCGUAGGCGGCUUGGCAAGUGGAUGGUGAAAUCCCUCGGCUUAACCGAGGAACUGCCGUCCAAACUGCUUCGCUUGAGACCAGGAGAGGUGAGUGGAAUUCCGAGUGUAGAGGUGAAAUUCGUAGAUAUUCGGAAGAACACCAGUGGCGAAGGCGGCUCACUGGACUGGUAUUGACGCUGAGGUGCGAAAGCGUGGGGAGCAAACAGG
rnacentral:rRNA from 1 species